rnacentral:rRNA from 1 species
AUCGAACGCUGGUGGCAGGCUUAACACAUGCAAGUCGAGCGAGCGGCGGACGGGUGAGUAAUGUCUGGGCAACUGCGUGAUGGAGGGGGAUAACUACUGGAAACGGUAGCUAAUACCGCAUACCAUCGGAUGUGCCCAGAUGGGAUUAGCUAGUAGGUGGGGUAAAGGCUCACCUAGGCGACGAUCCCUAGCUGGUCUGAGAGGCGGACCCGCCCCACUGGAACUGUGACACGGUCCAGACUCCUACGGGAGGCAGCAGUGGGGAAUAUUGCACAAUGGGCGCAAGCCUGAUGCAGCCAUGCCGCGUGUGUGAAGAAGGCCUUCGGGUUGUAAAGUACUUUCAUCGGGGAGGCGUUACCCGCACAAGAAGCACCGGCUAACUCCGUGCCAGCAGCCGCGGUAAUAC